ACUGGGGUGGCUCAGUCAGUGUGAGCAUCUGACUUCAGCUCAGGUCAUGAUCUCACUGUGAGUUUGAGCCCCAUUG
rnacentral:tRNA from 1 species